rnacentral:rRNA from 1 species
CCUACGGGAGGCAGCAGUGGGGAAUUUUGGACAAUGGGCGCAAGCCUGAUCCAGCAAUGCCGCGUGAGUGAAGAAGGCCUUCGGGUUGUAAAGCUCUUUUGUCAGGGAAGAAACGGUGGAGGUUAAUACCUUCUGCUAAUGACGGUACCUGAAGAAUAAGCACCGGCUAACUACGUGCCAGCAGCCGCGGUAAUACGUAGGGUGCAAGCGUUAAUCGGAAUUACUGGGCGUAAAGCGUGCGCAGGCGGUUGUGCAAGACAGAUGUGAAAUCCCCGGGCUCAACCUGGGAAUUGCAUUUGUGACUGCACGGCUAGAGUGUGUCAGAGGGGGGUAGAAUUCCACGUGUAGCAGUGAAAUGCGUAGAGAUGUGGAGGAAUACCGAUGGCGAAGGCAGCCCCCUGGGAUAACACUGACGCUCAUGCACGAAAGCGUGGGGAGCAAACAGGAUUAGAUACCCUGGUAGUCCACGCCCUAAACGAUGUCUACUAGUUGUCGGGUCUUUAUUGACUUGGUAACGCAGCUAACGCGUGAAGUAGACCGCCUGGGGAGUACGGUCGCAAGAUUAAAACUCAAAGGAAUUGACGG